GGAGUAUGGACCGUGUCUCAGUUCCAUUGUGGGGGACCUUCCUCUCAGAACCCCUACCCAUCGUCGCCUCGGUGGGCCGUUACCCCGCCGGCAAGCUAAUCAGACGCAUCCCCAUCCCUUACCGAUGAAUCUUUGCUCCUCAUCUGAUGCCAUCAAAGGAGAACAUAGAGUAUUAAUCCGACUUUCGCCGGGCUAUCCUCUAGUAAGGGGAAGGUUGGAUACGCGUUACUCACCCGUCGCGCCGGUCGCCAUCAAAGGAAGCAAGCUUCCUUCAUGCUGCCCCACGACUUGCAUGUGUUAAGCCUGUAGCUAGCGUUCAUC
rnacentral:rRNA from 1 species